CUGAGUACAAAAUACAGAAAUAAAUGACAUACAGAUAACAAAUUGCAAAACAGUACAUAAAAUAAAAUAGGAGAAAACACAAGAAAUUCCUUACAUAUAUUUACCCCAUAUAGAAUUCUUGUGGGAGUCUUAGAUGGUAUAGAUCUCCUAGAAGUUACUGACAAAAAGAAAAAUGAAUAACUGACUUCCCUGGAUAGUCCAACACCCUCAUAUAUCUAAACUAGUUGUUUCUCAGUGGGCAGACCCCUGGGGGGGGAUCAGAGGGGGCUGGUCUGGCAGUCUAUUGCCCACUCUAUGAAAUUCCUUGUGUCCAGCUCUGGUGAUGGCUAUCUAGAUG
rnacentral:lncRNA from 1 species